AAACCAGCACCUCAAGUGGUCAGGAUGAUUAUUGGGCCUAAAGCAUCCGUAGCCGGCUCUGUAAGUUUUCGGUUAAAUCUGUACGCUUAACGUACAGGCUGCCGGGAAUACUGCAGAGAUAGGGAGUGGGAGAGGUAGACGGUACUCGGGAGGAAGUGGUAAAAUGCUUUGAUCUCUCGAUGACCACCUGUGGCGAAGGCGGUCUACCAGAACACGUCCGACGGUGAGGGAUGAAAGCUGGGGGAGCAAACCGGAUUAGAAACCCCGGUAGUCC
rnacentral:rRNA from 1 species